AUUGAAAUAUGCUCGAAGAAUCACGAACUCGUACCUGGAUUACUUGCUGCGAAAAUAGCGAAUCUGCGUUACGGUGGUGUUCAGAAACUGUUGAGUGAGUUAUGCAAGCACAAGUUGCUCAGCUACGAACGAGGAAUACGAUAUGAUGGUUUUCGCUUGACAAAUGCUGGUUAUGAUUACUUGGCUUUGAAAGUCUUAACACAAAGAGGAACAAUUUCUUCUUUUGGUAAUCAGAUUGGUGUUGGCAAGGAAUCUAAUAUCUAUAUCGUUGCCAAUGAUGAGGGGACUUCUCUUUGUUUAAAAUUACAUAGAUUAGGUAGAACGUGCUUCCGAAAUAUUAAGGGAAAGAGAGACUAUCAUCAGCACAGGCAAUCCGCAUCUUGGUUAUAUCUAUCAAGACUUUCAGCAACUAGAGAAUUUGCCUAUAUGAAAGUACUCUUGGAUAGAGGUUUUCCUGUGCCAAAGCCAAUUGAUUUUAACAGGCAUUGUGUUAUAAUGGAGCUGGUUGAAGGUGGACCUCUAUGUAACGUACAUGAAGUAAACAAUGUGGAAACAUUGUAUGAUGAACUCAUGGAUUUAAUUGUUAGACUGGCAAAUCAUGGUGUUAUACAUGGAGAUUUUAAUGAAUUUAACAUAAUGAUUAAAAAUGAUGGCAAGCCAGUUAUUAUUGAUUUUCCACAAAUGGUUUCUACAGAACAUGAGAAUGCAGAAGAAUAUUUUCAAAGAGAUGUAAAUUGCAUUCGUGAUUUUUUUAAAAGACGUUUUGGAUAUGUGAGUGAACUGUACCCAACUUUCCAAGAUGUAUUACGUGAGGAUUGUAUAGAUGCUGAAGUUAAAGCUAGCGGUUUAAUGAAACAAAUGCAAAAAGAUCUCUUAAAGAAUUAACCAUAACAGAUGAUGACAACGAAGAAGAUACUGAAGAAGAAACGUACGAGGAUUGCAUUAAAAAUGCUGAAAAUUUAGAAGAUCAAGUAAAUAAUUUACAGCUUGAAUCUGAAAUUCCUAAAAAAGAAGAAUUUGUUUUUACACACAAUAAAGAAGCGAUACAAAAUAAUGAACGUUUGGAGGAAAUAUCUACAACAAUAUAUUCUCAAAAACAAGAUAAUUCAGAAAAUAAAUGUAAAGUAAAUAAUGAACAUGCAUUAUUUGACUUAUCAUCAAAUGCAGAAGACGAAAUAGCACAUAUUAAUGAUUAUGAUGAUGUACAAAGUAUACGGAGUGUAUCAACAGCUGCUACAAUUGCACCAGAAGUAAUAAAAAAAGAGAGUAAAAGCCGCGCUUGCUAAUCGCGAAAGAAGAGCCAAUCAAAGAGGUUACUCGUUAAAGGAGAAGCGAGUGCAGUAACAAGGACACGAAGGGAAAAUAGAGAUACAAUUAAACAGGAAUUAACAGGAAUUUGGGUUUGGAGUGAAGCACUAGUCAUACAGUCACACGUCCCUGCGAACAUAGAGCUCAUUGAUAGCAGAAUGGAAAGGCCAAAUUGCAAUAUACGGUGCGCCGAUCGAUUUUACUAGUUCCGGCAAAAUAACGUGUCUCCACGACGCCAAUGGUGCAGUUGCGAAAUAUGGACAAAUUGGACAGUUCGUUAAAUUCGCAUCUACCUAAAGGAUGCACGUUGUUGAUAGUGGAGAAGUGAAGAAAACAGCUUAAUAGGCAAUAAUAAGGUCAUGGUGAUAGCGCAAGACUUAUACACGUAUAACUGCGACGCGUGUAUAUAUAGCAGCGAGUUCUCUCCUGAGCAUUGAGUCUCUUCGUUCCAUUCGUUCUGUGCUUAUCAAAAUAUUUGGAAGCGUGAAGCUUUCCCAACGAUAAGUUGCACCUCGUUACAGUGAUUUCUUUUUUUUUCUUUAAAUUCUUAAACCAUGGCUAAGAACAAUCUCAGUGCUAUAUUGUACGGCAUCAAUGAUAUACGCCUGGAGAACACGAGUAUCGAAGAACCAGGAGAUAAUGAGGUGCUUUUGGAAAUGGGAUGUGUAGGAAUUUGUGGAUCAGAUGUUCAUUAUCUUGUUAAUGGAAGGAUUGGUGAUUUUAUUGUAAAGAAACCCAUGAUCAUCGGUCAUGAGUCUUCUGGGACUGUUGCCAAACUUGGGAAAAAUGUCACAAAUUUGAAGGUUGGUGACCGCGUUGCCAUUGAACCCGGUGUGCCCUGCAGAAUGUGUAACUUUUGCAAGGAGGGACGUUAUAAUCUGUGCAAGGAUGUAGUGUUUUGCGCGACUCCGCCUGUGCAUGGCACCCUGAGACGUUUUUACAAACAUGCGGCUGAUUUUUGCUUCAAAUUGCCCGAUCACAUGAGUUUAGAGGAAGGAGCGCUUUUAGAGCCGUUGGCAGUGGGAGUUCGUACUUGCAAACGUGCCGAAAUCGGUAUCAGUUCUAAUGUAUUAAUUCUGGGAGCUGGUCCGAUCGGCUUGGUCACAUUGUUGGUCGCCAAAGCCAUGGGUGCAAAUAAAAUAGUUCUAACGGAUAUUGUAGAAAGUAGACUGAAGAUAGCGAAGAAACUCGGCGCUGACGACACAUAUCUGUUGCAAAAGGAUAAAUCAGAAAAGGAUGUAGUAGCUGACAUUCAUGCAAUCUUUGGUGAUGAACCUGAUAGAACAAUAGACGCUUCUGGUGUCCAAGCUUCGAUUCGUUUAGCAAUUCUUGCAACGAAAUCUGGUGGAAUCGCGACAAUAGUGGGAUUGGGUGCUCCAGAGGUACAAAUUCCAUUAAUAAAUGCUUUGGUCAGGGAAGUUGAUAUUAGGGGUAUCUUCCGAUAUGUAAAUGACUAUAACGACGCAUUGAAUCUUGUCGCAUCUGGCAAGGUAAAUGUAAUGCCAUUGAUCACUCACAAUUAUAAAAUAGAGGACACCAAGCAAGCAUUCGAGACUAGUAAAGCUGGAGGCGAUGUUAUUAAAGUUAUGAUUCAUUGUAAUUAGAUGAAUCAUGGUUGAAAGCUGUACAGUUCACAAAGUUGUAUGACAAAGUUUUUUCAUGACACAACAGAAGAAUAUAUUACAAUAACAGGAGAAUAAUUUCUAAGCAACAACACACAGCGAGGGAAUUUAAGGAUAGAACUUCCUUGUAGAAUUGUUUCUAUAUGUGUUGCAAUAUGAGAGGAAAUGGAGAAAACAUCUAUUAAAUGUAAGCCCACAAAAUAGUUUUAAUUUUAACAUUACCAAGAAUAAAAAAGCCAUAUUAUGUGCAUUUACUAUUAA